GAUGAACGCUGACAGAAUGCUUAACACAUGCAAGUCUUUGGCGAAGCUGUGCUUGCACAGCCUAGCCAAGGCGGACGGGUGAGUAACGCGUAAGGAACUUGCCCUGCAGUCAGGGAUAACAGACGGAAACGACUGAUAAGACCUGGUAAAGUCAGGCGGACUCAUGUCCAGCCUGAUGAAAAGAGAUGCUGCAGGAGAGCCUUGCGUCCUAUUAGCUUGUUGGUGGGGUAACGGCCCACCAAGGCGAUGAUAGGUAGCCGGCCUGAGAGGGUGGACGGCCACAAGGGGACUGAGAUACGGCCCUUACUCCUAUGGGAGGCAGCAGUGGGGAAUAUUGGACAAUGGGGGCAACCCUGAUCCAGCAAUUCUGUGUGCACGAUGAAGGUUUUCGGAUUGUAAAGUGCUUUCAGCAGGGAAGAAAAAAAUGACGGUACCUGCAGAAGAAGCGACGGCUAAAUACGUG
rnacentral:rRNA from 1 species